GAUGAAGAACGUAGCGAAAUGCGAUAAGUAGUGUGAAUUGUAGAAUUCAGUGAAUCAUCGAAUCUUUGAACGCACAUUGCGCCCUUUGGUAUUCCUUAGGGCAUGCCUGUUCGAGCGUCAUUUAAACCUUCAAGCUCAGCUUGGUGUUGGGUGACUGUCCGCUUCACCGCGGACUCGCCUCAAAAUUAUUGGCGGCCGGUACAUUGGCUUCGAGCGCAGCAGAAACGCGAACUCGGGCCCGUCGUAUUGGCUCCCAGAAGCUAUCUUCACAAUUUUGACCUCGGAUCAGGUAGGGAUACCCGCUGAACUUAAGCAUAUCAAUAAGCGGAGGA
rnacentral:misc_RNA from 1 species